rnacentral:rRNA from 1 species
AGAGAACGUGAAACUACCACGAGGUUAAAGCGGAUGUACAUACGUAGCCGACCGGGUGGGCUCAUCUUCUCGAGCCUCCAGCGGUCGUCGCGUUCGGACCGUCGCCACCCUCGAAUCCCUUUCGGGGGAAACGACUGGCGUCGGCCGUCGCGACGGCGGACUCGGAGGAGAGAGUGGUGGAUUCCCCUCCUCAGUAGGCAGUCGCGGCCGUUCGAGAGUUGUCUAAGGCCCGGGAGUUGGGAACCGUCCGGCGUUUUACGCGUCGGCGGGGACUCUCCCUCGAUUCUGGCGGACUCUCGGACGGUUGAUGAAAAAUGACGACGUAGCGGAAAGAAAGUCCCUCGUCGUACGCGGCUGUUAUGCGAUCGUUCAUCCGUCCCGUCUUGAAACACGGACCAAGGAGUCUAACAUGUACGCGAGUCAACGGGUUGGCUAAACCCCUAGGCGCAACGAAAGUAAAAAAGGAGCUUUUUUUUUAAAGCUUCGUUGGGUCGAUCCGUGCUCCCUUUAAAAGGACCGGCGCARACCCGGGGCUCGCCGCUACCUCCUCGAGAUUCUUCUCGUGGCGGGCGGCGGGCACCUAGAGCGUACAUGCUAGUACCCGAAAGAUGGUGAUCUAUGCCUGGCCAGGAUGAAGCCAGAGGAAACUCUGGUGGAGGUCCGUAGCGAUUCUGACGUGCAAAUCGAUCGUCGGAGCUGGGUAUAGGGGCGAAAGACCAAUCGAACCAUCUAGUAGCU